rnacentral:lncRNA from 1 species
CAAAUAUACAAACAUAUAUAACAGUAUUUCCUAAGUAUCUAUAUAUUAAAUGAAUCGAGAAUAGUAUGAAACCAGUACAAUAUUAUUAUGGCAUUAUUCAUUCUUUUCAAUAUCAAACACAGUGACAACAAAAAUAAAACAUUAUGCAGUUGUGCUAGUAGGUAUGAGUAAGACCUUAUGUUAAUGUGGGACGGUCGGUCUCGUUAAUCCCGUUUCACCAUGGGCUGGAUAUUCAUUUUCCCACCGUGCAUGGUAGAAAUAUGUAAGCACAUUUGUAUUUAUUUAUUUUUAUAUUUUAUAUUUUAUUUGUCAUAUGUAAGCACAUAUAUAUGUAUGCUUAAUGCUUAUUGCAUGUCACAUAAGUGUCCACAUGUCUCUGAUCAUGUAGUUUUGUUUAAGCAUAUAUACAAAAACGAAAUCUGUGUUUAGUUCUGUUUUUAAUAUUUAAGGUUGAAUGAUUUUUGUUUUGUUUUUACUUCAAUCGUGAGAGUUUCAAACUUUUAUCCCAUAAUCUCUCCCAAUAUCCGAAUCAGCUUUUAAAUAUUUUACGACAUUUUUAAAACGUCAGUUUUGUUGGAGUGAACAUAUAUUUCUAAUAAGGCAGGUAUGCGGUUGGUAAUGGUAUCAUUUUUCUCAUAUAUAUAACUGAUUUUAUUUUAAGAAUUAAUAACUUUUUCAUGUAUUUCUUUUUUAUAGAUGUGUAUUUGUGAUGUAUGACGUCCGUCUCCAUAACAGUGGUCCGUGGAGCCCUGUCCGAAUCUAUCCACCCAACAGAUAUAUCACGACUUCACCUUUUCCACUUGGUCAAUGACCAACGACAUCUUCGUCCUUACCUCAUUUAUCUAUAUCUUUAUUAUAUAUGCUCUCAAACACACGUAGAUCAAUAAAGUUUUACUUUCCGAAUAAUCUUAUACGAAUAUUUAUCAACGUCCACAAAAUAUGAUUUAAUCGUUAGCGACUGACUAGAUACCCAACCCAUAGAAUGGAGCCUUGAUGUCUCCUAGUACGUAUUGGAGCAUUUUGCUCCUCGUAAGAUUUAUAGCCAUUAGGAAUAUCACUAGACCAACGAAUCUUAUUCGUGAAAGUUUUAGGAGAGUUGAUUCAACGUUUUCUAAACUUUUUUUAAAAAGAGAUAAAGCUUUUUCUCAUUUUUUUUAUUUUCGUUGAUUAUUAAUUAUUCUGAUUCUUGUUGUAUAUAAUGUUUCUACCUACUCUUUACUUACAAAUUCCGACUCUCGUUGGAUACCAUUAAUCAAUAAAAGGGAUUAUUUUUUAUUUACAAAAGUAAAACUCAUGAAUAUAUAAGAGGGUCGUAUUGGUAUAUGAAUGGAUAACACUGUAGAUAUUCAAAUUAAAUGGUCAAGUCAUUAUCAGCAUUAUAGCGAAAAUCUUUCAUGCAGAAGAAAGCUACAACCAUAACAAAAAUUAUUUUGAAAAAAAAAUCAAAAUACAAACUAUAACCCACGUGAGAAAUACCAAGUGCCAACAAACAAAGCAUGAUCAAGAAUAAAAAUCGUAAAUCAUGGUUUCAAGAUAUGAUUCCAAUGUAGUGCAUGAUUUAUGAAAUAUAUUUUUUGUUUUUUAGAAAAUACGCUCUCGUGGAAGUGUCUUUGAUGCAAUGAUCUACCGAAAUACUAAGAAAUUUAGAAAAAGUAUUUAAAGUUUGAAUUUAGAACGUAUAUUCGAUAACUAGUAAAAUUUGUGUUCCUAAAGUGAGUAUUCUUUUGUAAUGUUACAUGUUAAAUAAUGAAGAAAUAAAAGUAUUUGUGUAUAGUUAGAUCUAUUUGUAGUAUAUGAUAGCUUCCCACUUUUAAAACUUUAUAAUCUUUGAUAAAUAUUGAUAUAUGAUCAUUGAUAAAGGUACAUUUGAUUCCUUAAACAGGGGUUUAAAAACAAGAAACACAUGCUUCAACUAAUUCCAAACCCAUAAUUUCUCCUUUCUCAAAAUACUUUGUUCUUAUAAUCCUUUUACUCAUAUCCCAAAAACUCGAUUUAAGACACGACGAUAACACUAAAAUACCAAUACACAAUCAAAAUAUUCCAAUUAAUAUUUUGAUUAUAUUAAAAAGGUAUGUUCAAUAGAAUCAUUGUUUGGGAAAGGCGUAUCCAAAUACGUGUAUAAGUAUGCAAAUGACGUGAAACUUUUUUUUUGACCCACUAGAAAAAGUUACAUGACUAUACAAUGUUGAAUAUAUAGAUAUUCUCCUCUACAAUAUGCUUUUGUCAUGCACUUUUGUCCCUUGGUCCAUUGAAGAACCAAUUUUAAAUCCAUCUUUCUCAAUUGCCAUUAUCUCAACUUUUAUUUUGUACACUAUUCAUAUCAAUAUUUCAAUUUUGUGACUAGUAUCAAAACAAGUAAAAAAUAG